rnacentral:tRNA from 1 species
AUGAGAGAGGACAUCACAAAGUCGACCUCUUCGGAGGAAGUUGGGGACGUAACUGCGUCAGUUGAAGAUUCCUUGCAAAAGAAAUCAUCGGAUAAUGAAAAUGUGUAUGAGAUCGUUGAGCCGGAACCAGUUUAUGAGAAAGCAUGGUCUAAAAAUAUGAUCAUUGUAGCAUAUGCUGUGCUAUUUUUCACUGCAUUUGUUGAAACCUUUGCAUCUGACUCUACGAAAAACUUGGAUUCCUAUGCCACUUCGAGUUUCAAUGCACACUCCUUACUUGCAACCAUCGCGGUCGUCUAUAAGAUCACUGCAAUUUGCGCAUACCCCGUCUUCGCCAAAGUUGCUGAUAUCUUAGGUAGGGGUGAAGGGUUUGGUGUAUCCAUUGUGUUUUAUACGCUAGCAUAUCUACUAUAUGCCGCUUGUCAAAAUGUGAACACUUAUGUUUGUGCCGAAAUCUUUUAUGCCCUUGGUAGAAACGGGUAUCGUGUUUUCCAGCAAAUUUUCAUUGCCGACACAACUUCUUUAGUUAACAGAGGUAUAUGGUCCCAAUUGCCGGUUGCAAUCUCAGCUAUUCCAUCAUUAUACGCGGGUUCAUAUAUUCAAGACGCAUUUUUGAAGCACUCAACUUGGAGAUGGGGGUACGGGACCUUUUGCAUUAUUCUAGCUGCUUCUGCCUUUCCACUAACAUUCAUAAUGUUGUACAUGGACAAAAGGGCAAAGAAGGCUGGCGAGAGGAAACAAAUUGCCAUAUUCAAAGACUUGCCAGAAGGUUCCUGGUACAAAAAAGCAUUGCACGUGAUGUUUGUCGAGCUGGAUUUGAUUGGAGGUGCGCUACUGCUUGCAGGAUUCGCUGUGUUCUUCGUCCCAUUGACCUUGACAGGUUCCAAAUCAUCGUACAAAUGGCAUGAACCUAGAUUGAUUGCGAUGAUUGUUGUUGGGUUUGUGAUUUUCUGCAUGUUUUUGGUAUGGAACUUUUCUUUCAAAAAGAGACCAUUCCCAACCAGAAAGCCUUUUGUUCCUGCCCAGUCCUUCGCCAAUAAAACCGUUGUAGUCAUUCUUAUUUUGAACGCACUAGAUCUUUGCGAGAACUCUUCAUUUGCAACUUAUUUCGCUACAACAUUACAAGUUGGUGGGUACUACACAGCUGGUCAGGCGUCCAGAAUUGACAAUGCGAAAAAGGUGACCGUGCAGAUUGCUUCGAUUUUAACAGGUUUGGCUAUGAAGUACACCAAACUAUCAAAAAUCUACGUCCUUGGAGGCGUUCCAUUGGUGGUCUUGGGUCAUGGGUUGCUUGUGUAUUUUAUGAACAGAAAUGGCGUCAUGGAGAGCACCAUCAGACUAAAUGUCAUGGAGAUUUUCAUUGGGUUCGGCAGAGGCAUGUACCAAUCCGCAACCCAGGUUUUAAUCCAGGCUAUUGCCGGUGUAGAAGGUAUAGCAAUGUCCACCGCCUUUUUCCUAGCUUUCCAAUCCAUUGGUUCCCUAAUAGGAAGUGCCAUUGCCGGUGGUAUUUGGAAUAGCAUCAUUCUCAGGAAGCUAGACAAGUACCUACCUCCAAAGGAGAAGAAAAAUGCCAAGAAAAUAUUCAAGUCAAUCAAGGUCGCUAUGUCGUACAAAAAACACACGCCCACAAGAGACGCAAUUUCCAGAGCAUACAGGGAAACACUCCAAAUCAUCGGAUACACUGGCCUGGGAAUCAUCGCACCUAUGCUAAUCCUGAUGUUUUUCGUGCGCGAGGUGAAAUUGACCGACAAACAUGAUGCCUACGGCAACGACGCACGUAGCGAUACAGACUCAAAUAUCGAGGGCAUCCGUACAGAUCCCGAACAAAGGCAGGAUGAGAAACCUACGUACAGCUUUAACCAGGAAAAGAGAACCUGGACUAACUUUUGGAGGGUUUAA